GGAAGAUUCAUAGCUCAGUGGUAGAGCAUCAGCUUUGUAUGCAGGAGGUCCCAGGUUUGACCCCCAGGAUCUCCA